GUUUGGAUGUCGUCUUUGCUGUUGGUAGUUCCGGUGACGUGAAGGCCAUUGUUGAUUACCACGAGGGGCGGUGUCGUUGGUAGGGAUGGUAGACUAUGUUCUCACCCAAUAAAAGAGUCCAUCACACUUCAGCAAGAUGAUGACGACGACAACAAAAGCUCUCAGCAAUUCAUCGUGACGAUCUCAUUGGAAAGAUUUCAAAAACGUCCUGAAGAUCCUCGGUGAAUCGUUUGCAGCGGCGCGCUUUCUAGUACCACAGCAUAACAUUACGUUCCGCACGGUUUGUUUGCGUUCGCAUCGGGCAUCGAGUGCCAUAAACCUUGUGGUUUUGCAUUGCUGCCUACAGCAUCUGCUUGCAGAGCUCGCGUCGUUCAGAUCAUUUGAAACGAAAGACACAAAACGAAAGAGAAAUCCCUGUAGCGCCACCCGCGCUGCCAGUCCUCUCCUCUCGUCGACUCACCUUUUGU